rnacentral:rRNA from 1 species
GGGUUGUGAGGUUAAGCGACUAAGCGUACACGGUGGAUGCCCUGGCAGUCAGAGGCGAUGAAGGACGUGCUAAUCUGCGAUAAGCGUCGGUGAGGUGAUAUGAACCGUUAUAACCGGCGAUUUCCGAAUGGGGAAACCCAGUGUGUUUCGACACACUAUCAUUAACUGAAUCCAUAGGUUAAUGAGGCGAACCGGGGAACUGAAACAUCUAAGUACCCCGAGGAAAAGAAAUCAACCGAGAUUCCCCAGUAGCGGCGAGCGAACGGGGAGGAGCCCAGAGCCUGAAUCAGUGUGUGUGUUAGUGGAAGCGUCUGGAAAGGCGUGCGAUACAGGGUGACAGCCCCGUACACAAAAAUGCACAUAUUGUGAGCUCGAUGAGUAGGGCGGGACACGUGGUAUCCUGUCUGAAUAUGGGGGACCAUCCUCCAAGGCUAAAUACUCCUGACUGACCGAUAGUGAACCAGUACCGUGAGGGAAAGGCGAAAAGAACCCCGGCGAGGGGAGUGAAAAAGAACCUGAAACCGUGUACGUACAAGCAGUGGGAGCCUCUUAAUGGGGUGACUGCGUACCUUUUGUAUAAUGGGUCAGCGACUUAUAUUCUGUAGCAAGGUUAACCGAAUAGGGGAGUCGAAGGGAAACCGAGUCUUAACUGGGCGUUAAGUUGCAGGGUAUAGACCCGAAACCCGGUGAUCUAGCCAUGGGCAGGUUGAAGGUUGGGUAACACUAACUGGAGGACCGAACCGACUAAUGUUGAAAAAUUAGCGGAUGACUUGUGGCUGGGGGUGAAAGGCCAAUCAAACCGGGAGAUAGCUGGUUCUCCCCGAAAGCUAUUUAGGUAGCGCCUCGUGAAUUCAUCUCCGGGGUAGAGCACUGUUUCGGCAAGGGGGUCAUCCCGACUUACCAACCCGAUGCAAACUGCGAAUACCGGAGAAUGUUAUCACGGGAGACACACGGCGGGUGCUAACGUCCGUCGUGAAGAGGGAAACAACCCAGACCGCCAGCUAAGGUCCCAAAGUCAUGGUUAAGUGGGAAACGAUGUGGGAAGGCCCAGACAGCCAGGAUGUUGGCUUAGAAGCAGCCAUCAUUUAAAGAAAGCGUAAUAGCUCACUGGUCGAGUCGGCCUGCGCGGAAGAUGUAACGGGGCUAAACCAUGCACCGAAGCUGCGGCAGCGACACUAUGUGUUGUUGGGUAGGGGAGCGUUCUGUAAGCCUGUGAAGGUGGCCUGUGAGGGUUGCUGGAGGUAUCAGAAGUGCGAAUGCUGACAUAAGUAACGAUAAAGCGGGUGAAAAGCCCGCUCGCCGGAAGACCAAGGGUUCCUGUCCAACGUUAAUCGGGGCAGGGUGAGUCGACCCUAAGGCGAGGCCGAAAGGCGUAGUCGAUGGGAAACAGGUUAAUAUUCCUGUACUUGGUGUUACUGCGAAGGGGGACGGAGAAGGCUAUGUUGGCCGGGCGACGGUUGUCCCGGUUUAAGCGUGUAGGCUGGUUUUCCAGGCAAAUCCGGAAAACCAAGGCUGAGGCGUGAUGACGAGGCACUACGGUGCUGAAGCGACAAAUGCCCUGCUUCCAGGAAAAGCCUCUAAGCAUCAGGUAACAUCAAAUCGUACCCCAAACCGACACAGGUGGUCAGGUAGAGAAUACCAAGGCGCUUGAGAGAACUCGGGUGAAGGAACUAGGCAAAAUGGUGCCGUAACUUCGGGAGAAGGCACGCUGAUAUGUAGGUGAAGCGACUUGCUCGUGGAGCUGAAAUCAGUCGAAGAUACCAGCUGGCUGCAACUGUUUAUUAAAAACACAGCACUGUGCAAACACGAAAGUGGACGUAUACGGUGUGACGCCUGCCCGGUGCCGGAAGGUUAAUUGAUGGGGUUAGCGGCAACGCGAAGCUCUUGAUCGAAGCCCGGUAAACGGCGGCCGUAACUAUAACGGUCCUAAGGUAGCGAAAUUCCUUGUCGGGUAAGUUCCGACCUGCACGAAUGGCGUAAUGAUGGCCAGGCUGUCUCCACCCGAGACUCAGUGAAAUUGAACUCGCUGUGAAGAUGCAGUGUACCCGCGGCAAGACGGAAAGACCCCGUGAACCUUUACUAUAGCUUGACACUGAACAUUGAGCCUUGAUGUGUAGGAUAGGUGGGAGGCUUUGAAGUGUGGACGCCAGUCUGCAUGGAGCCGACCUUGAAAUACCACCCUUUAAUGUUUGAUGUUCUAACGUUGGCCCGUAAUCCGGGUUGCGGACAGUGUCUGGUGGGUAGUUUGACUGGGGCGGUCUCCUCCUAAAGAGUAACGGAGGAGCACGAAGGUUGGCUAAUCCUGGUCGGACAUCAGGAGGUUAGUGCAAUGGCAUAAGCCAGCUUGACUGCGAGCGUGACGGCGCGAGCAGGUGCGAAAGCAGGUCAUAGUGAUCCGGUGGUUCUGAAUGGAAGGGCCAUCGCUCAACGGAUAAAAGGUACUCCGGGGAUAACAGGCUGAUACCGCCCAAGAGUUCAUAUCGACGGCGGUGUUUGGCACCUCGAUGUCGGCUCAUCACAUCCUGGGGCUGAAGUAGGUCCCAAGGGUAUGGCUGUUCGCCAUUUAAAGUGGUACGCGAGCUGGGUUUAGAACGUCGUGAGACAGUUCGGUCCCUAUCUGCCGUGGGCGCUGGAGAACUGAGGGGGCUGCUCCUAGUACGAGAGGACCGGAGUGGACGCAUCACUGGUGUUCGGGUUGUCAUGCCAAUGGCACUGCCCGGUAGCUAAAUGCGGAAGAGAUAAGUGCUGAAAGCAUCUAAGCACGAAACUUGCCCCGAGAUGAGUUCUCCCUGACUCCUUGAGAGUCCUGAAGGAACGUUGAAGACGACGACGUUGAUAGGCCGGGUGUGUAAGCGCAGCGAUGCGUUGAGCUAACCGGUACUAAUGAACCGUGAGGCUUAACCUUACAACGCCGAAG